GUGCUCUCUUCGGCAGCAUAUAUACUAAAACUGGAACUAUACAGAGAAGAUGGCACGGCCCCUGCACAAGGAUAACGCGCAAAUUCGUUAAGCGUUCCAUAUUUCU
ensembl:snRNA U6 U6 spliceosomal RNA